ACGUGAGCAAUCUGCCCCUGACUCUGGGAUAAGCGCUGGAAACGGCGUCUAAUACUGGAUAUGAACCGUGGAGGCAUCUUCAACGGUUGGAAAGAUUUUUUGGUCAGGGAUGAGCUCGCGGCCUAUCAGCUUGUUGGUAAGGUAAUGGCUCACCAAGGCGUCGACGGGUAGCCGGCCUGAGAGGGUGACCGGCCACACUGGGACUGAGACACGGCCCAGACUCCUACGGGAGGCAGCAGUGGGGAAUAUUGCACAAUGGGCGCAAGCCUGAUGCAGCAACGCCGCGUGAGGGAUGACGGCCUUCGGGUUGUAAACCUCUUUUAGCAGGGAAGAAGCGAAAGUGACGGUACCAGCAGAAAAAGCGCCGGCUAACUACGUGCCAGCAGCCGCGGUAAUACGUAGGGCGCAAGCGUUAUCCGGAAUUAUUGGGCGUAAAGAGCUCGUAGGCGGUUUGUCGCGUCUGCUGUGAAAUCCCGAGGCUCAACCUCGGGUCUGCAGUGGGUACGGGCAGACUAGAGUGCGGUAGGGGAGAUUGGAAUUCCUGGUGUAGCGGUGGAAUGCGCAGAUAUCAGGAGGAACACCGAUGGCGAAGGCAGAUCUCUGGGCCGUAACUGACGCUGAGGAGCGAAAGGGUGGGGAGCAAACAGGCUUAGAUACCCUGGUAGUCCACCCCGUAAACGUUGGGAACUAGUUGUGGGGUCCAUUCCACGGAUUCCGUGACGCAGCUAACGCUUUAAGUUCCCCGCCUGGGGAGUACGGCCGCAAGGCUAAAACUCAAAGGAAUUGACGGGGACCCGCA
rnacentral:rRNA from 1 species